GAUGAACGCUGGCGGCGUGCCUAAUACAUGCAAGUCGAGCGAACAGACGAGGAGCUUGCUCCUCUGACGUUAGCGGCGGACGGGUGAGUAACACGUGGAUAACCUACCUAUAAGACUGGGAUAACUUCGGGAAACCGGAGCUAAUACCGGAUAAUAUAUUGAACCGCAUGGUUCAAUAGUGAAAGACGGUUUUGCUGUCACUUAUAGAUGGAUCCGCGCCGCAUUAGCUAGUUGGUAAGGUAACGGCUUACCAAGGCAACGAUGCGUAGCCGACCUGAGAGGGUGAUCGGCCACACUGGAACUGACACACGGUCCAGACUCCUACGGGAGGCAGCAGUAGGGAAUCUUCCGCAAUGGGCGAAAGCCUGACGGAGCAACGCCGCGUGAGUGAUGAAGGUCUGCGGAUCGUAAAACGCUGUUAUUAGGGAAGAACAAAUGUGUAAGUAACUAUGCACGUCUUGACGGUACCUAAUCAGAAAGCCACGGCUAACUACGU
rnacentral:rRNA from 1 species